UGUUUAAAUUUUUAUUCAUUUGUACUAUUAAAAACUAACUUGGUUGAUAGAAUGACAUGACAGUGAUACAUGUUAUGUGUACCUCGUGUUAACGUACUAUGAUAAAAUUUUAAAGAUAAAAAAUAGAUGAAAUUUUUAACC
rnacentral:pre_miRNA from 1 species